rnacentral:rRNA from 1 species
UACGUAGGGUGCGAGCGUUGUCCGGAAUUAUUGGGCGUAAAGAGCUUGUAGGCGGUCUGUCGCGUCUGCUGUGAAAAUCCGGGGCUCAACCCCGGACUUGCAGUGGGUACGGGCAGACUAGAGUGUGGUAGGGGAGACUGGAAUUCCUGGUGUAGCGGUGAAAUGCGCAGAUAUCAGGAGGAACACCGAUGGCGAAGGCAGGUCUCUGGACAGUUCCUGACGCUGAGGCACGAAGGUCAGGGGAGCAAACGGG